CUCUUACUAGUUAUACAAGUUGUGCAAUCUUUUGAGGUAACGCACCCUGCAGCAUUAUUGUUAUUAUUUUUAUUCAUUCACCAUUAAUUUCCCAAGUGCAUGCUCAUUUAUUGCUUAGAAUUUGUGGUUCACCAUCGUCCCAACCCAAAAUUCCUUUCUCUUAAUAAUUGAGAUUGGGUCACAGUUAUUGCUAAGCAAUAGUUAGCCACAGCACUUGAAUAGCACUUCUGUUGUCUCUGUCCCUCUGUACCAAUUCAGAACGUGUUUGGAAGAAGAAGAAGAAGCUUGAUGCCAGAAUUGGCAUCUGGGUUCUGCAAAAGUUCACUUUUUUAAUUAAUGGGUUGCAUUUACUCGCGCGUUUGCAUAGGCGACAAUUGCAGAGGCUCAAGCAUCAAUGGAGACCCAAUUGUGAGAACUGAAGUAGAAGGCGCGUUCUCAACAACCUCUUCAGAUGUUCAAGAAGCUGAAAUCAGAGACCAAUUGAACCAAUUAAGCAUAACAAGAGACUCUGAAGCUGGAAUCCGAAGACUCGCUAGGGUUUCUGCGCAGUUUCUUCCACCAGAUGGUUCUAGAAUCGUUAAGGUUCCUUCUGGAAACUUCGAAUUGCGCUAUUCCUUCUUGUCACAGCGAGGUUACUACCCCGAUGCACUUGAUAAAGCCAACCAAGACAGUUUCUGCAUCCACACGCCGUUCGGUACGAGCCCUAACGAUCACUUCUUCGGAGUCUUCGAUGGACACGGCGAAUUCGGAGCUCAAUGUUCCCAAUUCGUGAAGAGAAAACUGUGCGAGAAUUUGCUGAGAAAUUCAAAAUUUCGUGUGGACCCGGUUGAGGCAUGUCACGGGGCAUUUUUGGCGACGAAUUCGCAGCUUCAUGCGGAUGUUUUGGACGAUAGCAUGAGUGGGACGACGGCGAUCACGGUGUUGGUUAGGGGGAAGACGAUGUACGUGGCGAAUUCCGGUGAUUCGAGGGCGGUGGUUGCGGAGAGGAGAGGGAAGGAUUUGGUGGCGGUGGAUUUGUCGAUUGAUCAGACCCCUUUUAGGACUGAUGAGCUUGAAAGGGUGAAGCUUUGUGGGGCUAGGGUUCUUACGUUGGAUCAGAUUGAAGGGAUUAAGAAUCCUGAGGUUCAGUGUUGGGGUAGUGAAGAGGAAGGGGAUGAUGGGGACCCUCCUAGGUUGUGGGUCCCUAAUGGGAUGUACCCUGGUACUGCUUUUACAAGGAGCAUUGGUGAUUCCAUUGCUGAGACUAUUGGGGUUGUUGCUAACCCUGAGAUUGUUGUGUUUGAGCUUACCCAAGAUCACCCUUUCUUUGUUCUUGCUAGUGAUGGGGUGUUUGAGUUUCUCUCUAGCCAGAAAGUGGUUGAAAUGGUUGCAAAAUUCAAAGAUCCCCGUGAUGCUUGUGCUGCAAUUGUGGCAGAAUCUUAUCGACUCUGGCUACAGUAUGAAACUCGUACAGAUGAUAUUACAGUCAUCAUUGUGCAUGUAAAUGGGCUAACUGAACCUGCGGCUGGUCAGUCAGCAAGUUAUGGUGAUGUUUUACGAACCCCUGUGCCUCAAGUUGUAGAGGUGACAGGUUCAGAGUCCCCUUCCACUUUUGGCUGGAAUGCUAGGAACCAUCGUGUAAGACAUGACUUGUCAAGGGCACGCCUCCGGGCAAUUGAGAAUACGUUAGAGAAUGGACAAAGUUGGAUUCCUCCAUCUUCAGCCCACAGGAAGACAUGGGAGGAAGAAGCACACAUAGAACAAGCUUUGCAUGACCAUUUUCUCUUCCGAAAACUUACUGAUUCUCAGUGUCAUGUUUUAUUGGAUUGCAUGCAAAGAGUUGAGGUCCAACCUGGGGAUAUUAUAGUCAAACAGGGUGGUGAAAGUGACUGCUUUUAUGUUGUUGGUAGUGGAGAAUUUGAGGUCUUGGCAACUCAGGAGGAAAAAGAUGGGGAGGUACCUAGGGUUUUGCAGCGGUACACAGCUGAAAAACUCUCAUGCUUUGGAGAACUUGCUCUAAUGUACAAUAAACCACUCCAGGCUUCUGUACGUGCUGUAACAAAAGGAACUCUUUGGGCUUUGAAGCGAGAAGAUUUUCGAGGGAUUUUAAUGUCAGAAUUCUCUAAUUUAUCAUCCUUGAAGUUGCUUCGGUCUGUAGAUCUUCUCUCAAGGUUGUCAAUUUUACAACUCAGCCAGAUUUCUGACUCCCUAUCUGAAGUUUCCUUCUCAAGUGGGCAGACAAUAGUUGACAAAAACGAAGUCCUUGCAUUGUACAUUAUCCAGAAAGGACAAGUGAAAAUCACUUUUGAUGCUGAUUUAUUGACUAGUCCAAAUGCCAGCAGCCUCAAGCCUGACAUCCAAAAUGAGGAGGAAGAUGUGCAGAGCAGAAGAGAACUGUCAAUAGAGAAGCCUGAGGGAAGCUAUUUCGGUGAAUGGGCCCUUCUUGGUGAACAUAUUGGUUCCUUAAGUGCAGUUGCUGUGGGUGAUGUUGUAUGUGCUUUACUAACAAAGGACAAAUUUGAAUCUGUUAUUGGUUCCUUACAAAAGAUUUCUCAGGAAGAUCACAAGUUGAGGGAUAGUUCCAAGGAGUUGAGUAGAAAUUUUGAUUUUUCAUCCCUCGAUAAAGUCCAGCUCUCAGAUUUGGAGUGGAGAAAGACCGUAUGUUCCACUGAUUGCUCUGAGAUAGGGCUUGCAAAUUUAAGAGAUUCAGAAAAUGUGCUUAGUUUAAAGAGAUUUUCUAAGCCGAAGGUGAAAAGGCUAGGAAAGGAAUCACAAGUUUUAAAAGAGAAAGAUUUAAUCAAGGGUGUGAGCUCUUCAGCCUGUAUACCUCAGGUUUUAUGCACUUGUGCUGACCGCAUAUAUUGUGGAAUACUGCUAAAUACAUGCCUCGCUUGCCCUUUGUCUUCCAUACUGUCAAGUCCUUUCAGUGAAUCAGCAGCACAAUUUUGCGCUGCUUCUGUUGUUACUGCCUUGGAAGACUUGCACAAGAAUGGUGUUCUCUACAGAGGUGUGUCGCCUGAAGUUUUGAUGUUCAAGCAAACAGGACAGAUACAGCUGGUGGACUUCAGAUUUGGAAAGAAGCUCGCUGGUGAGCGAACGUUCACAAUUUGUGGGAUGGCAGAUUCACUAGCUCCAGAGAUUGUUUUGGGAAAAGGCCAUGGUUUCCCGGCUGACUGGUACAUAUAAAACUUGUCUAAAGCCAUUUAUUCUCUGUAAACCAUACAAUUCCUCCUGUCAGUGGCACACUUCUUUCUUCGUUUUCUCAAAACAUGAAGAUAACCUAGAAUAUUAUAACACAUGCCGAAUGUAAAUUCAUUUGAUCUGUAACCAAUAUGUUGCAAUUACACCUGAUGUGCAUUGCAUCAAAUUGGAGUCAACGGUACUUAACAUACAUUGUCUUUGGACAAGCUCUGAAGCUCUAGAAUGUGGGCAUUGGGAGUUUUAAUAUAUUUUAUGUUACGUGGUGAGAUGCCAUUUGGAUCAUGGAGAGAAAAUGAACUUGAUACAGUUGCCAAAAUUGCAAAAAGGAAGCUACAUCUUCCUGAGACUUUUAGCCCUGAAGCUGUUGAUCUCAUCUCCAAGUUACUUGAAGCAGAGGAAAACACUAGACUUGGUAGCCAAGGUCCUGAUUCUGUCAAGAGUCACCCAUGGUUUAAUGGUAUUGAAUGGGAAGGGAUUAGACACCACACUUUUCCUGUUCCACAAGAAAUUAUUUCUCGUAUAGCACAAUACGUGGAAGUUCAUUCUGAGGAUUGUACUGGUUAUCCGGGGUCCCCAUUACAGGAGGUAGAAGAACUUAAUGUGCCUGAAUGGCUUGAGGACUGGUAGAAGAAUGAGAAUGAGUAUUAAGGUUUUGUCAACUUUUUGAAGUUUGGCUAUACACCAAUAUUUACCUUUGCUUAUUUCGACAAAUUGCAUUCCAAGAAUGCAAUCACCCUGAAAAUGCAAAGAGAGUAAUAGAUCCAGAAUAUUGCCCAUAGCUUAAUCUUUUACAGAAUAGGUAGGGUAGGCUUAUUAUGGUUAUCUUUUUCACCUCUUUCCUUUUCUAAAUUUUUUGGGUCAUUCCUCUCCUCUGUAAAUAUUAUAUAUAUGUAAAUGAUUGAAUUUGUUUUAAUUGUAAUCCAAGCAAUUUAGGUU